CCCUUCGAUGUUCUGGGCCGCACGCGUGUUACACUGAUAAAUUCAACGAGUCUAGAACCUGUUCUGAGAAGAAUGGGGAAUCUUGUGAAAUUUUAUCGUGAUAGGGAUAGAUGAUUGCAAUUAUUCAUCUUAAACGAGGAAUGCCUAGUAAGGGCAGUUCAUCAAACUGUCCUGAUUACGUCCCUGCCCUUUGUACACACCGCCCGUCGCUCCUACCGAUUGGAUAUUCCGGUGAAGCCUCGGGAUUGUGGUUCUUGCCGCUUUAUUGUGGCGUGACCGCGAGAACUUGUCUAAACCUUAUCAUCUAGAGGAAGGUGAAGUCGUAACA
rnacentral:rRNA from 1 species